CUAUGUGUUUGAUAUUAAUGUUAACUAAAACCUGGCAGUAAAAUACUGGUAGUACCUUUAUGCUGUCAGCUGGCAGAAAAAGAGAGUCUCUGAUGGAGGAGGUAAUUUCAGCCCAAGGCCAUCAUGAGCUCCCUUAAUAAUGAGGAGCCUGUUCAGCAGGGAAGAGAGGGACCGGUGGAGCCCACAGGCACAAAGACCAGAGCCCUUGGGUCUGAGUCCCUGCAGCUCCUCAUGGACCAAAGGAGCCAGGAAGGCCCUGAAUGCACCACUGUGGCUGUGAGACCGGGCACCACUGUGGCUGUGAGACCGGACACCUGUUCAGGGGGUGAGAUGGAAGGGGCUUAGAAACAGCACGGUGUUUAAUGUAACUAUUCUGACUCUUUGUCCUCUAGAAUGUGGAACCCUAGAUCAAACUUGAUUUCCUGCUCUCCAUUAUGAUUCUGGAGGAAAGAGGGAGCAUUUAUUGUCUUUAGGUCCCCUUCAGGGGAGGGAAGAGACACAAAUGCCCCCUUCCUGUCCUCAGAAGAAGCUGCCAUUCCAUCUAAAGACAAGACAACCCCCAUAUCAGUGUCUGUGCCAACAAAACCUUGGUGCCGGCUGGGGGAAUGCCACAUACAGAAAACAAGGUGCAUCUAGAGAGAAGACAACGUGAAGACACAGGGAGACCACCAGCCACAGAGCAAGGAACCUCGAAGACUGUGAGCAAACCACUAGAAUCUAGAAGAGAACAUAGAACAGAAGUUUCCUCACAAUUCUCAGAAGGAACCAACACUGCCCUCACCUUGAUCUCAGACUUCGACCCCCAGAGCACUGAGACAUUACAUUCUGUUCUGAACCAGGCCAUAGGCUCCACCAGAAGCUGUGCUGAGGACCGCAGUGGACAUGGGCACGAACACUUCUCCAUCUCUCUUUUUCAUACCACACUUCAGCAGACGUGAGGAAGAGCUCCAUGCAUCAUCCCCUAUGGCUGACUGGAGCCUGUGCUUUGCUGACUAGGGUCUUGAGAAGAAAAAAAAUCUCUCUCUGUUUUCCCAAAUGAUGAAGUUUUAUUGUUUAUGAGCCCUUUUAUGUUGUAAACCUAGGAAAGGUGAGGGACCCAUGAAACUGUAUUUUAAAAAAAUCCUUUAAAUCUGCACCUUGUAUAUCUAUCCUUUGUCUGAGCUUCUCUUUCUCCUCUUACCAAAACAAACCAUUGUGAGAUAUGUGUAUUUUUAACCUGAGAUGCAGGUCUUAUAUAAUACAACAAACUUUGAAGAUCCGAUUCACAUAAAUUGGAUUGCAAACCAAAUAAAAUUUGC
rnacentral:lncRNA from 1 species